AUACGUAGGUGGCAAGCGUUAUCCGGAAUUAUUGGGCGUAAAGAGUGAGCAGGCGGCAGUUUAAGUCUGAGGUUAAAGCGUGGGGCUCAACCCCAUAAAGCCUUGGAAACUGAACAGCUAGAGUACGGGAGAAGUGAAGGGAACUCCAUGUGUAGCGGUGAAAUGCGUAGAUAUAUGGAAGAACACCAGUGGCGAAGGCGCUUCACUAGCCCGAAACUGACGCUCAGUCACGAAAGCGUGGGUAGCAAAUAGGAUUAGAUACCCUAGUAGUCCACGCUGUAAACGAUGAUAACUAAAUAUUGCCGCGAGGCAGUGUUGAAGCUAACGCAUUAAGUUAUCCGCCUGGGGAGUACGGUCGCAAGACUGAAACUUAAAGGAAUUGACGGGG
rnacentral:rRNA from 1 species